UUCCGUAGGUGAACCUGCGGAGGGAUCAUUACCGAGUUUACAACUCCCAAACCCCUGUGAACAUACCUAUACGUUGCCUCGGCGGAUCAGCCCGCGCCCCGUAAAACGGGACGGCCCGCCCGAGGACCCCUAAACUCUGUUUUUAGUGGAACUUCUGAGUAAAACAAACAAAUAAAUCAAAACUUUCAACAACGGAUCUCUUGGUUCUGGCAUCGAUGAAGAACGCAGCAAAAUGCGAUAAGUAAUGUGAAUUGCAGAAUUCAGUGAAUCAUCGAAUCUUUGAACGCACAUUGCGCCCGCCAGUAUUCUGGCGGGCAUGCCUGUUCGAGCGUCAUUUCAACCCUCAAGCUCAGCUUGGUGUUGGGACUCGCGGUAACCCGCGUUCCCCAAAUCGAUUGGCGGUCACGUCGAGCUUCCAUAGCGUAGUAAUCAUACACCUCGUUACUGGUAAUCGUCGCGGCCACGCCGUUAAACCCCAACUUCUGAAUGUUGACCUCGGAUCAUGUCAGGAAUAGGCGCUUGAACUUAAGCAUAUCAAUAAGCGGAGGAA
rnacentral:rRNA from 1 species